ACGGCUCAUUAACACGUGGUUAACAUACCCUCAGGUGGGGGAUAACCUUGGGAAACUGAGGAUAAUACCCCAUAGAAAAAGCAGUCUGGAACGAUUCUUUUUCGAAAGCAUAUGCGCCUGAGGAUUGGACUGCGCUCGAUUAGGUAGUUGGUGGGGUAAUGGCCUACCAAGCCUACGAUCGGUACGGGCCUUGAGAGAGGAAGCCCGGAGAUGGGGACUGAGACACGGCCCCAGGCCCUACGGGGCGCAGCAGGCGCGAAACCUCCGCAAUGCACGAAAGUGCGACGGGGGGAUCCCAAGUGCUCAUGCACAGCAUGGGCUUUUAUCAAGUGUAAACAGCUUGAGGAAUAAGGGCUGGGCAAGUUCGGUGCCAGCAGCCGCGGUAACACCGACGGCCCGAGUGGUGGCCACUUUUAUUGGGCCUAAAGCGUCCGUAGCCGGUCCAGUAAGUCCUUGUUUAAAUCCUGCGGCUUAACCGCAGGACUGGCAGGGAUACUGCUGGACUUGGGACCGGGAGAGGACAAGGGUACUUCAGGGGUAGCGGUGAAAUGUGUUGAUCCUUGAAGGACCACCUAUGGCGAAGGCACUUGUCUGGAACGG
rnacentral:rRNA from 1 species